GGAACUAAAAGUCGUAACAAGGUAACCGUAGGUGAACCUGCGGUUGGAUCAUUAUAAAAUCCUAUAAAGAGUAAAUUCUUUAAUAUUUUAUUGGUUGUAGGAAUCAUUUUAUAUGAAAUCUCCCAAUUAUUUAGAGAAUUUACUUUUUAUAUACCCAUUGUGAACUGUUUUAUUGUUUUUUCGGGUCUUUUUUUAAUAGAGAGACCCGAACAAUUUAUAUUAAACCCAAUUUUUUUAUAAUUUUAGACUGAAUUCAAUUUUAUAUUAUAUAAAAUGAUAAAAACAACUUUUGACAACGGAUCUCUUGGCUCUCGCAACGAUGAAGAACGCAGCGAAAUGCGAUACGUAAUGUGAAUUGCAAAAUUUCGUGAAUCAUCAAAUCUUUGAACGCAUAUUGCACUCUCUUUUGAGAGUAUGCCUGUUUGAGAAUCUAUUGUAUUCAUUUUUCUAUAUGAUUUUUGAUUAUAUAGAAAAGACUUGUCAUUACUAUAAAAUGAUUUUUAUAGUUUGAUAAAAUAGAUUUCAAUGGUCUAGUAUUUUAUACCAAACCAUAGUUUAAAACUAUUUGAAUGAAACUUUUAAAGAGUUUCUAUUUUCAUAGUGAUUUCUAUGGGAAAUACAAUUUAGAUUUUUUGAAUAAAAACCAUAAAAGAAAAGAGUAUAUUUAUAUAUGAAUUCUUUGAACCAUGGUCUCAAAUCAGGUAGGAAGACCCGCUGAACUUAAGCAU
rnacentral:rRNA from 1 species